GUUUAUCCAAGACACCAGUGACUGCUGAUGUGCUCUUUUUUGUAGCCAAGGAAGAGGACUGGGACAGAUCUAAGUCUGUCUGAUUCAGAACCUGUGCUGAAAAACACGUUGACUGGACAGGCAAAGGUGAUAUUUGAGCCUUCUGAUUAUAUCAAGUACAAGCAAAUGGAGUGAUCUAUCCUUCAGAAGAAUGUUGUAUCAAAUUAAAGUUGUAUAGUUGAAAAUCAAAGUCAGUUCUGAAAAGGUGGUAUGUUCUUCGGUCUUAGGAAGUUUAUCUGUACCAUACUUACAGCACUGCAGCAUGAUUCUGAUGUCUGAAGGAACUCUUGAAGUUGCAAGCAUGAAUCAGUGUUAGUUUGGACAGUGGCAUCAGAGAUAGGAAGAAUCUGUCCCAAUGUGUUUCAGUAAUAUGAAGAAACUGGACAAAACAUGGAAAUAAAACCCUUUACAUGAAUAUUCA
rnacentral:lncRNA from 1 species